UAAGGAAUAUUGGUCAAUGGGCGCAAGCCUGAACCAGCCAUGCCGCGUGCAGGAAGACGGUCCUAUGGAUUGUAAACUGCUUUUAUUUGGGAAUAAACCUCUUUACGUGUAGAGAGCUGAAGGUACCAAAUGAAUAAGCACCGGCUAACUCCGUGCCAGCAGCCGCGGUAAUACGGAGGGUGCAAGCGUUAUCCGGAUUCACUGGGUUUAAAGGGAGCGUAGGUGGGCUUGUAAGUCAGUGGUGAAAUCUCCGAGCUUAACUCGGAAACUGCCAUUGAUACUAUAGGUCUUGAAUUAUCUGGAGGUAAGCGGAAUAUGUCAUGUAGCGGUGAAAUGCUUAGAUAUGUCAUAGAACACCGAUAGCGAAGGCAGCUCACUAGGUCUGGAUUGACGCUCAGGGACGAAAGCGUGGGGAGCAAACA
rnacentral:rRNA from 1 species